rnacentral:misc_RNA from 1 species
UCUCUGAAUUCAACCUCCCACCCGUGUUUAUUGUACCUUGUUGCUUCGGGGCCGCCGGGGGGCAUCUGCCCCCGGGCCCGCGCCCGCCGAAGACACCUUGAACUCUGUAUGAAAAUUGCAGUCUGAGUCUAAAUAUAAAUUAUUUAAAACUUUCAACAACGGAUCUCUUGGUUCCGGCAUCGAUGAAGAACGCAGCGAAAUGCGAUACGUAAUGUGAAUUGCAGAAUUCAGUGAAUCAUCGAGUCUUUGAACGCACAUUGCGCCCCCUGGUAUUCCGGGGGGCAUGCCUGUCCGAGCGUCAUUGCUGCCCUCAAGCCCGGCUUGUGUGUUGGGUCUCGUUUCCCACGGGCCCGAAAGGCAGCGGCGGCACCGCGUCCGGUCCUCGAGCGUAUGGGGCUUUGUCACCCGCUCUGUAGGCCCGGCCGGCGCUUGCCGAUCAACCAAAACUUUUUUCCAGGUUGACCUCGGAUCAGGUAGGGAUA